rnacentral:lncRNA from 1 species
AUGGCAGAGAACUGGGGCCUUGCUGGUUUGUACCUUCCUCCCAUGGCAAUCACUGAACACUCCUACUGCGUAUUUCUGCAUCCCUCAAGAAGUCCUGCAAAAACACAAGGGGAAACACGAUUUGACAAUCCUAAUUCUUCACCGAAGGGAAAACAGAUUUCUCAGUGGGCAGAAACCCAGCAGAACACCCAGACUGUGUAUCAAUCAGCAGAGCUCCCUUGUUCAUUCUGGGCAAGCAAAAGGAUUCUUUCAUGUCUGAAGAGCCAUAGCAGCCUAAAAUUUUGGCUGAGUGGAUGAGUGGAACACAGAAACAACGAAUAGUAGCGCUGGCUCGUGGCCUUUUUUUCUUCUUUACUUCGCACAGGCUCUCCUCUCUGCUUUUAUGCUUUCCUUUGGAUUGUGGCGUCCGUGACCUUCAUGUUUUCUUUGCAUAGCUAUUUAUUCCUAUUGGGAAGAAAAGACUGUUUUUGCAAAUAUUUCUUCCUGCUCUAGCCGGGGUAAUCUGGGACCUAAACUGUGUUUAGGUCCAAAGGCACCAAAGGCAUGUGGAGUCUUGUCUAUUUAGUCAGGCCAAAAGGCGAACUAGAAGAUAAGAAGGCAUUUCUCUAACACACCAGGGAUUUCCAGUCACUGGCAGAGGUGGCAGAAUUAACAGGAAAUCAGCAGAAGCAGUCAUUGAUACAAGGACAAUCACACUGUCGGUGUGCAGCUGGUAGCUGACUCAUAAUGCUUAGCAGGCAUAAGAAGUCCUGCCUCCUUGCAUGCCUUGUAUCAGUAGAAACAUACCAACUGAAGGAUAUUUCACUUGGCAAACUGGCAUAACUUCACCAGGAAAAACGCAGGCUUUUGUUGACAGGACUCAGCAUUGAGCAUGGAGGAAAUCAAGUGCAGGCCAACGUGAGGGUGAGCUAAACAGGAUGCUGGCAGAAUGACCAAAUCACACCAAGCAACACAAUCAUCAUGAUCAUUGCAAUUUCCAAGAUCUUAAAUUUCAACCCCAAAUUUGAGUAAGAUUUGGAACGUUCAGAAAAACACAUCUACAACCAGUGUUCUUUUCCCCUGACAGAUUUCCCCUGAUGCAUAUAAUGGAGACCUUCAAAAACCUGUUUGAAUGAAACAUAUUAGGCAACCUAAAAAUAGGGGUUGAUUCCAAGUGCUGUAAAAUGAACUGUUUCACCUGUGUUUGUAAUAAGCUACAAGUGAUGUGAAACAAGGAGCUUAUUUAAUAGCAUGUAGCAGAUGGUCUGUGCAAAGUUGAAUAUGACAGGAAGAUUCUUGUCCAAAUUGGAGGUGAGACUGUUGUGUUUUUUUUC